UUUAUGGAGAGUUUGAUCCUGGCUCAGGAUGAACGCUGGCGGCGUGCCUAAUACAUGCAAGUCGAGCGAACAGACGAGGAGCUUGCUCCUCUGACGUUAGCGGCGGACGGGUGAGUAACACGUGGAUAACCUACCUAUAAGACUGGGAUAACUUCGGGAAACCGGAGCUAAUACCGGAUAACAUGUUGAACCGCAUGGUUCAACAGUGAAAGACGGUCUUGCUGUCACUUAUAGACGGUCUUGCUGACGG
rnacentral:rRNA from 1 species